rnacentral:rRNA from 1 species
CUUUUAUGGGGUGACUGCGUACCUUUUGUAUAAUGGGUCAGCGACUUAUAUUCUGUAGCAAGGUUAACCGUAUAGGGGAGCCGGAGGGAAACCGAGUCUUAAUUGGGCGUUAAGUUGCAGGGUAUAGACCCGAAACCCGGUGAUCUAGCCAUGGGCAGGUUGAAGGUUGGGUAACACUAACUGGAGGACCGAACCGACUAAUGUUGAAAAAUUAGCGGAUGACCUGUGGCUGGGGGUGAAAGGCCAAUCAAACCGGGAGAUAGCUGGUUCUCCCCGAAAGCUAUUUAGGUAGCGCCUCGUGAACUCAUCUCCGGGGGUAGAGCACUGUUUCGGCUAGGGGGCCAUCCCGGCUUACCAACCCGAUGCAAACUGCGAAUACCGGAGAAUGUUAUCACGGGAGACACACGGCGGGUGCUAACGUCCGUCGUGAAGAGGGAAACAACCCAGACCGCCAGCUAAGGUCCCAAAGUCAUGGUUAAGUGGGAAACGAUGUGGGAAGGCCCAGACAGCCAGGAUGUUGGCUUAGAAGCAGCCAUCAUUUAAAGAAAGCGUAAUAGCUCACUGGUCGAGUCGGCCUGCGCGGAAGAUGUAACGGGGCUAAACCAUGCACCGAAGCUGCGGCAGCGACACUGUGUGUUGUUGGGUA